rnacentral:rRNA from 1 species
UACAGAGGGUGCGAGCGUUGUCCGGAAUCACUGGGCGUAAAGGGCGCGUAGGCGGCCUGAUAAGUAGGGGGUGAAAUCUUGCGGCUCAACCGCAAGGCUGCCUUCUAAACUGUCAGGCUGGAGCACGGUAGAGGCAGAUGGAAUUCCCGGUGUAGCGGUGGAAUGCGUAGAGAUGUCAUAGAACACCGAUUGCGAAGGCAGCUCACAAAACUGUAACUGACGCUGAGGCACGAAAGUGCGGGGAUCAAACAGG